rnacentral:tRNA from 1 species
GGGCAAGUGCCGGAGCGGUCAAUCGGAGCAGACUGUAAAUCUGCCGGCGUACGCCUACGGUGGUUCGAAUCCAUCCUUGCCCA